rnacentral:lncRNA from 1 species
CAUACUACUACCACUCGCCUCCUCCUCCAGUGAAAUCACCACCUCCUCCAUACUACUAUCAUUCACCACCACCACCAGUGAAAUCACCUCCUCCUCCAUACUACUAUCAUUCACCACCACCACCAGUGAAAUCACCUCCUCCUCCAUACUACUACCACUCACCACCACCUCCUGUAAAAUCACCUCCUCCCCCAGUUUACAUUUACGCCUCACCACCACCACCACCACCAACUCACUACUAGGCUCAGAAAGCUCAGUCACACACCAAAGUCGAUCAUGUAAGUUUCUUUAACAUUUCUAACAUCAUUUUUCAAUUUUUUUAGUAUUAGCAAAAUGAAUCACUUUGAAGUGUAUGUCUAAUUUUCUGCCAUUUCCAUACAACAGAUUU